rnacentral:rRNA from 1 species
GACGAACGCUGGCGGCGUGCUUAACACAUGCAAGUCGAACGGAAAGGCUCCAGCUUGCUGGAGUACUCGAGUGGCGAACGGGUGAGUAACACGUGGGUGAUCUGCCCUGCACUUCGGGAUAAGCCUGGGAAACUGGGUCUAAUACCGGAUAGGACCGCACUUUGGUGUGUGUGGUGGAAAGGUUUUUCUGGUGUGGGAUGAGCUCGCGGCCUAUCAGUUUGUUGGUGGGGUAAUGGCCUACCAAGACGGCGACGGGUAGCCGGCCUGAGAGGGUGGACGGUCACAGUGGGACUGAGAUACGGCCCAGACUCCUACGGGAGGCAGCAGGGGGGAAUAUUGCACAAUGGGGGAAACCCUGAUGCAGCGACGCCGCGUGGGGGAUGAAGGCCUUCGGGUUGUAAACUCCUUUCGCUAGGGACGAAGCUUUUUGUGACGGUACCUGGAGAAGAAGCACCGGCUAACUACGUG